rnacentral:rRNA from 1 species
GGACUACUGGGGUAUCUAAUCCUGUUUGCUCCCCACGCUUUCGCACCUCAGCGUCCAGUAUGAGCCAGUGAGCCGCCUUCGCCACUGGUGUUCUUCCGAAUAUCUACGAAUUUCACCUCUACACUCGGAAUUCCACUCACCUCUCUCACCUGCUAGCUCGGCAGUCUUAAAGGCAAUUCUGGAGUUGAGCUCCAGGCUUUCACCUCUAACUUACCAAGCCGCCUACGUGCGCUUUACGCCCAGUAAUUCCGAACAACGCUAGCCCCCUCCGUAUUACCGCGGCGGCUGGCAC